GGUUUGAUUAUGGCUCAGAUUGAACGCUGGCGGGAUGCUUUUACAAUAUGCAAGUCGAACGGCAGCACGGACUUCGGACCAGGGUGGCGAGUGGCGAACGAAGAGUAUAGUGGUACUGGGAACGUGCCCAGUAGCGGGGAUAACCACGCAAAGCGUAGCUAAUAUCGCAUUGCCCUUCGGGAAAGCGUGUGGGGACCUCUACCGCACUAAUAGAGCGCCGAUAUCGGAUUAGCCAGUUGGUGGGGCAUCACCAUCAUCACAUAGCGACGAUCCGUAGCUGGUUUGAGAGGACGACCAGCCACACUGGGACUGAGACACGGCCCAGACUCCUACGGAGGCAGCAGGGGGAAUUUUGGACAAUGGGGAAACCCUGAUCCAGCCAUCUCCGCGUGUGCGAUGAAGGCCUUCGGGCUAGCACUUUGGCAGGAAAGAAACGGCAUGUGAGAAUGCCCGUAACUGACGGUACCCUGCAUUGCACCUAACUACGCGCCAGUUGCGGAUACGUAGUGCGUGCGUUGCUAAUCGGAAAUUACCGGGUAGCAGCGCAGGCGGUUCGAAAGAAAGAGAACCGAGUUUUUCUAACUUUGAAUCAUUUAAUUACCGAGCCAGAGUGGCGAGGGAGUGGGAAUUCCGCGCGUAGCAGUGAAAUGCAGAUAUGCGGAGGAACACCGAUGCAUAGCAGCCUCCUGAUAACACUGAUGCCGCCUACACGAGCGUAGAGCAAACAGGAUUAGAUACUCCCGGUAGUCCGUUCCCAAACGAUAAUAACUAACUGUUGGGGCCUUCGGGCUCAGCGGUGCCAACGCGCAGAAAAGUUGACCGCCUGGGGAGUACAAACGCAAGAUUAAACUCAAAGGAAUUGACGGGGACCCGCACAAGCGUGAUAUUACGUGGAUUAAUUCGAUGCAAUGAAAAACCUUACCAAUUUCUUGACAUGUCUGAUCCCAAGAGAUUUGGGAGUAAGUCAGGUAAGAGAACCGGACCAUAGCGUAUGGCGUUAUGCCGCUACCGCUCGUGGGUUGUGAGAUGUUGGGUUAAGUCCUGCAACGAGCGCAACCCUUGCUGCUUGCUUACAUGAAAGGGCACUCUAAUAGAGACUCCUGGCUGAUACAAACCGGAAGGUGGGGAUGACGUCAAGUCCUGCGCCCCAGGGAUUCACGUCAUAUCGGUCGGACACAGAGGGUCGCCAACCCGCGUAGGGGGAGCCAAUCCCAGAAACCCAUCAUCGUAGUCCGGACGAACUGCAACCUGACUGGUGAAGUCGGAAUCGCUAGUAAUCGCGGAUCAGCAUGCGGUGAAUACGUUCCUGUCUUGCACAUACCGCCCAUCACACCAUAGGAGUGGGUUUUACCAGAAGCAGUUAGCCCAACCGUAAGGAGGGCGAUUACCACGGUAGGAUUCAUGACUGUGCGAAGUCGUAACAAGGUAAA
rnacentral:rRNA from 1 species